AUGUGGAGUACAGGGUGUAUUGUGGCAGAACUCUUUGCUGGCAAACCAAUCAUGCCAGGAAGAACCGAGGUGGAGCAAAUUCACAAGAUCUUUAAGCUCUGUGGGUCGCCGAUGGAUGACUAUUGCAAGAAAUCAAAGGUGCCAGAAACAGCGAUGUUCAAGCCUCAGCAGCAAUAUAGGCGGUGUGUUGCUGAGACUUUCAAAGAUUUUCCUCCUUCCACAGUAGUUCUCAUAGACUCCUUGCUUUCAUUAGAACCAGAAGUUCGUGGAACAGCUUCCUCAGCUCUUCAGAGUGAUUUUUUUAAAACAGAGCCACUUGCUUGUGACCCUUCAAGUCUACCGAAACUUCCAGCAAGCAAGGAGUAUGAUGUUAGACUCAGGCAAGAGGAAGAGAGGAGGCAAAGAAAGGCAGCUCUUGGUGGACGAGGAGCUGAAUGUUCCAAACCAGGAAAUGAAAAUCAUGUAACCAGUCGUGCUGUCAAUGGUGCUGCUGAAUCGAAGGAACACGCGCAUGCCAGUUCAAAGAGCAACAGCGUGAAGUUCUACCCCGAGGAUAGCGUGCCCGGUUUCCGGGUGGAGCCACGCCGGUUGCCAACCACGGUGCAGGUUCCUGGAUUUGGCUCUACAUGGAACAUGGGAGGUUACACAGAUCAUCCAACGACGCCUGGUUGUGCCUGCAGUUCUGUUCAUGUCGCAAAGACAAAGGCAUCAUCGCAUUCACAUAUACCACAGUUUUGCACGACAGAUCUGAGGAAUGCAGUUGAGGUUCAGAAUCAGCCACCUGAUAGGCCUGUAUCAUCUCACAACAAGAACCCCCUAGAGAAUCAUGGAAGGAAGCUCAGGAGGAUCCACCACUCGGGGCCAUUGGUGCCGCCGGGAGGGAAUAUCGAGGACAUGCUCAAGGAGCACGAGAGGCACAUCCAAGAGGCGGUGCGCAAGGCACGGCUCGGCAAGACGAGCAGGUAG
rnacentral:rRNA from 1 species